rnacentral:lncRNA from 1 species
UUUUUUUUUUUAUGAAGUAAUUGAUUUCAUUGCUGGCAUCAAGAAGAUGCAUAAUAGUUACAAAAGAUUUAUAGCAAAAAGGAAUAAUGCCAGCUCCAAUACAGAUUUUCAGGCCAAUACUAAGGAGCUAACAAAAUUUCACAUUCCUCAAGUUUUCUACAACAGAACUGCUAAGAACACUUCCAAUUUUACUAUCUGACCUAUAAAGCUGGGUUCUACAAAUAAAUGAGAACAUUAUGUUACUAUUAUUCAUUUGUGAAAGACAUACUAUCAGUAUGAUUAUGCUAUAGCACAUAUGAAGACAAGAUGCUCAAUCUAAAUGAAUUUAUCGGAAACCGCCUCUCUACCUUCACAAGGUAGGGUAAGGUCUGCAUACACAUUACCCUCCUCAAACCCCACUUGUGGGAUUACACUAGGUCUGUUUUUUUGUUGUUCACAACCCAACAAAGGAUUGAUUUAUCCUAAAAACCACUAAAGGUGAUUGAAUUAAGUAACAGACCGGAUGGCCAACAAAUACAGGGCUUCAGAGCUGAUAAUCAAACUAUUGCAAUGAUUUGGCUUGACAGCGUUGAAAGCUCCCAUGUGAAUUAUGAAAUAUUGAUGUAGUUGUUUGUAAAAACUUUAAUUUGAUUGAUAGAACAAAAUCAAUGUUCAAUCAUGAUUAGUUACAUAAAUAUACAAAUUCAUGAAUACAUAAAUUC